AGUGAACGCUGGCGGUAGGCCUAACACAUGCAAGUCGAACGGCAGCACAGUAAGAGCUUGCCCUUACGGGUGGCGAGUGGCGGAAGGGUGAGGAAUACAUCGGAAUCUACUUUUUCGUGGGGGAUAACGUAGGGAAACUUACGCUAAUACCGCAUACGACCUACGGGUGAAAGCAGGGGAUAUUCGGACCUUGCGCGAUCGAAUGAGCCGAUGUCGGAUUAGCUAGUUGGCGGGGUAAAGGCCCACCAAGGCGACGAUCCGUAGCUGGUCUGAGAGGAUGAUCAGCCACACUGGAACUGAGACACGGUCCAGACUCCUACGGGAGGCAGCAGUGGGGAAUAUUGGACAAUGGGCGCAAGCCUGAUCCAGCCAUGCCGCGUGGGUGAAGAAGGCCUUCGGGUUGUAAAACCCUUUUGUUGGGAAAGAAAAGCAGCAGGUUAAUACCCCGCUGUUCUGACGGUACCCAAAGAAUAAGCACCGGCUAACUUCGUG
rnacentral:rRNA from 1 species